GACGAACGCUGGCGGCAUGCCUUACACAUGCAAGUCGAACGGCAGCACGGGAGCAAUCCUGGUGGCGAGUGGCGAACGGGUGAGUAAAGUAUCGGAACGUGCCCAGUCGUGGGGGAUAACGUAGCGAAAGUUACGCUAAUACCGCAUACGAUCUAUGGAUGAAAGCGGGGGAUCGCAAGACCUCGCGCGAUUGGAGCGGCCGAUAUCAGAUUAGGUAGUUGGUGGGGUAAAGGCUCACCAAGCCGACGAUCUGUAGCUGGUCUGAGAGGACGACCAGCCACACUGGGACUGAGACACGGCCCAGACGCCUACGGGAGGCAGCAGUGGGGAAUUUAGGACAAUGGGCGAAAGCCUGAUCCAGCCAUGCCGCGUGCAGGAUGAAGGCCUUCGGGUUGUAAACUGCUUUUGUACGGAACGAAAAGGUUUGGCCUAAUAAGCUGAGCUCAUGACGGUACCGUAAGAAUAAGCACCGGCUAACUACGUGCCAGCCGCCGCGGUAACAC
rnacentral:rRNA from 1 species